GGCUCGGUGGUGGAUGGUCCACACCUGCAUUCCUUGGUUCAUGAGGUAGGAGAAUUGCGCAUGAAGAGCCCGUUCGAUUCGGGCCCGAGCCA